AGACUAGACAAAGCUGUCAUCCUCCUAGACACCUGCGGCACAAAAUAAUCAGCUAUACUCCAUGACUGAUAUUUCUGAGAAAAAAAUCAUCCACAUAUUUAUUCUUUUCAUUAUUACUCUUUUUUAAGUUUAUUUGUCGAUUUUUUUUACAUAAGGGUAACAAUUGUAUUGUGAUAUAUUCUGUCUAUCACUACCUCUGAAGUGUGGUAUAGUCAUUGUCUAUGCUGAUAUUAUUAAUACAAAACUUGAACGAAUAGUCAUUCAUUAACACUGAUUGUCAAUCAUCAACACUAAUAGUCAAUCAUUAGCAGUGAUAGUCAAUCAUUAGCAGUGAUAGUCAAUCAUUAGCACUCAAUGUCAUUUAUUAGUAUU